GACGAACGCUGGCGGCGUGCCUAACACAUGCAAGUCGAGCGAAUGAAAUUCCUUCGGGAAUGGAUUUAGCGGCGGACGGGUGAGUAACACGUGGGCAACCUGCCUCAUAGAGGGGAAUAGCCUUCCGAAAGGGAGAUUAAUACCGCAUAAGAUCGUAGUACCGCAUGGUACAGCAAUUAAAGGAGCAAUCCGCUAUGAGAUGGGCCCGCGGCGCAUUAGCUAGUUGGUGAGGUAACGGCUCACCAAGGCGACGAUGCGUAGCCGACCUGAGAGGGUGAUCGGCCACAUUGGGACUGAGACACGGCCCAGACUCCUACGGGAGGCAGCAGUGGGGAAUAUUGCACAAUGGGGGAAACCCUGAUGCAGCAACGCCGCGUGAGUGAUGACGGCCUUCGGGUUGUAAAGCUCUGUCUUCAGGGACGAUAAUGACGGUACCUGAGGAGGAAGCCACGGCUAACUACGUGCCAGCAGCCGCCGUAAAAC
rnacentral:rRNA from 1 species